GCAAUCAUGGCCGAGUGGUUAAGGCGAUGGACUUGAAAUCCAGUGGGGCUCCGCGCACAGGUUCGAAUCCUGUCGACUGCG
rnacentral:tRNA from 1 species